GGGGGUGUAGCUCAUCUGGGAGAGCGUCUCGCUGGCAGCGAGAAGGUAGCAAGUUCGAUCCUUGUCAUCUCCA
rnacentral:tRNA from 1 species